rnacentral:snoRNA from 1 species
AGGUACUAUUCAUCAUGUGAAACUUAUGACCAAAGACUGAAGUUCCCCAAAGGAUGUUAUUUAACAGUGCUGUUUUUCUGAGGAGAUAUAAAA